AAUUCUCAACUGCACUAGUUCUCUCUGGUGUAGCUUGGAUAAUGGGGGUUAUAAUUUUGCAGGCCCUUCUUUCAAUGGGUCAGCUCCCCUGAAAUGCAUUAGUGGUCUGAAACUACUACAGGUGUGAUAAAUUAUCUAUGCCUUGGUAUGCACUGCAUGAACAGAGUAUGCUGCUUAUCUGAUGGGAUGUUUGACAA
rnacentral:misc_RNA from 1 species